rnacentral:rRNA from 1 species
UACGAAGGGGGCUAGCGUUGCUCGGAAUCACUGGGCGUAAAGCGCACGUAGGCGGACUCUUAAGUCGGUGGUGAAAUCCUGGAGCUCAACUCCAGAACUGCCUUCGAUACUGGGAGUCUCGAGUGCGGGAGAGGUGAGUGGAAUUCCCAGUGUAGAGGUGAAAUUCGUAGAUAUUGGGAAGAACACCAGUGGCGAAGGCGGCUCACUGGCCCGUAACUGACGCUGAGGUGCGAAAGCGUGGGGAGCAAACAGG